UACAGAGGGUGCAAGCGUUGUUCGGAAUUAUUGGGCGUAAAGCGCGUGUAGGCGGCUUGGCAAGUCGGGUGUGAAAGCCCUCAGCUCAACUGAGGAAGUGCGCCCCGAAACUGCUGAGCUCGAGUGCCGGAGAGGGUGGCGGAAUUCCCCCAAGUAGAGGUGAAAUUCGUAGAUAUGGGGAGGAACACCGGUGGCGAAGGCGGCCACCUGGACGGUAACUGACGCUGAGACGCGAAAGCGUGGGGAGCAAACAGG
rnacentral:rRNA from 1 species